UUCCGCGCACUCGCGCGCAAGGCAGAGGUUGGCGCCCGAAGCUGCCCGGAAGAACCCGGGAGCUGCGUUUCUCGAGCCAGCCACGGAGGCGAAGGCGGAGCGAGCGGGAACGGGGCGCCUGCCUGCCUACCUGCCUUGACCGCGGACCCGGGCGCUCCGUCGUCCUUCCCCGCGGAGCCAUGGGCUCCAUCACCUCCGCGCUGACGCGCUCGCGCAACGCCGUAGUCCAGGUGCGCUCGGAGCCGUCGGGGGCUCCGCCGGCAGCCGGCAGCAAGACACGAGCGUCCCGGAGCAAAGGGGCGGGCAAGGCGGCCACCGCAGCCGCGCCUGCCCGCCGCCCGCCGCCCGCCCCGGGCGCCUGGGAAGGAAGCAACCGGCCGGGCCAGGCGGAGGAGAAGGAAACGCGCGAGGAGCUGUCCGUGGUGCUGAAGCGCCCCGAAGAGGAACAGGGACCGGCUGGGCUGGCCUUGCCCCUCAAUCCCCGCCGCUGCGGGAGCGCCUUUGCAAAUGAGACGGGGGACAAGAAUGCUCGGCCGCUUUCAAGAUUCGCCCGGUCGAAAUCUCAGAACUGUCUGUGGAAUACCAUUAUUGGUGGGCUUACAGGGAAUCUUAAGGAAAAACAGAAGCCAACCAUCGUCUUUGACCCAAGACCUCCUGAAGAAAUCUUAGCAGAGGAGCUGCCGGCGGUAGAGAGCCCCGAAGCACUUGUGAAAACCUCAUUCAGGUUACGAUCUUUGGUGAAGCAGCUAGAGAGAGGAGAGGCUUCUGUUGUUGACUUGAAAAAGAACUUGGAAUAUGCUGCUACAGUACUUGAAUCGGUGUACAUUGAUGAAACCAGGCGUUUGUUGGAUACGGAAGAUGAACUCAGUGAUAUCCAGUCAGAUGCCGUGCCCUCGGAAGUACGGGAUUGGCUGGCUUCUACUUUCACACGGCAAAUGGGGAUGAUGCUGAGAAGGAGCGAGGAAAAGCCACGAUUCCGAAGUAUUGUGCAUGCAGUUCAGGCUGGGAUAUUUGUGGAGAGAAUGUACAGACGGACAUCCAAUAUGGUUGGACUUAGCUACCCACCUGCUGUAAUUGGAGUGCUAAAGAACGUAGACAAGUGGUCCUUCGAUGUAUUUGCACUAAAUGAUGCUAGUGGGGACCAUGCACUGAAAUUCAUUUUCUACGAAUUGCUCACACGCUAUGAUUUGAUCAGCCGCUUCAAGAUUCCAAUAUCUGCUCUUGUCUCCUUUGUGGAAGCCCUGGAAGUUGGCUACAGCAAGCAUAAAAAUCCGUAUCACAACCUAAUGCAUGCUGCAGAUGUCACACAGACUGUUCAUUACCUCCUUUUUAAGACAGGUGUAGCGCACUGGUUGACGGAGCUGGAAAUAUUCGCUAUGAUUUUUGCUGCUGCCAUCCAUGACUAUGAGCACACCGGAACCACCAACAACUUUCAUAUUCAGACACGGUCGGAUACAGCCAUUCUUUACAAUGACCGGUCUGUGUUAGAAAAUCAUCACCUUAGUGCAGCGUUUCGCCUUCUGCAAGAUGACGAGGAGAUGAAUAUCCUGUCUAACCUCUCAAAGGAUGAUUGGAGAGAAUUUAGGACUCUGGUUAUUGAGAUGGUGUUGGCCACGGAUAUGUCCUGUCACUUCCAGCAAAUCAAAGCCAUGAAGAAUGCGCUGCAGCAGCCAGAAGGAAUUGACAAACCGAAAGCCUUAUCGCUGAUGUUGCAUACAGCUGACAUCAGUCACCCCGCCAAGGCAUGGGACCUCCAUCACCGCUGGACCAUGUCACUGCUAGAGGAGUUUUUCAGACAGGGUGACAAAGAAGCAGAACUAGGGCUUCCUUUUUCCCCUUUGUGCGACCGUAAAUCCACCAUGGUUCCUCAGUCUCAAGUAGGUUUUAUUGAUUUCAUUGUGGAGCCCACUUUCACUGUGCUGACUGACAUGACAGAGAAGAUUGUAACACCUCUCAUUGAGGAAGCCUCCCACUCUGGCAUGACAGGGUUUAGGCGUUCCAGUCUGAAUAGCAUUAGCCCCUCAGAAGUUAAAAGAUCAAGUGUAAAGAGUACUGGAUCAGAAGGAAGUGCCUCUCUCAACUGCUCCAUUCUCACUGUGGACUUCAAAGGUUUCAAAAGCACCUGGACUGAGGUGGUGCAACAAAACCGGGAAAAGUGGAAAGCACAAGCAACCAAAGAAGAGAAAGCCAAGAAAGAGGCCGAGGAGAAUGUUCAACAGGGAACGGAUGACAAGAAAACGGAAGACGGCGAAGGGAAAAAGCCGGCUGAGGAAACCACUGCCCCCAAGUCAGAGAGUAGUAAAGAAGGCAAUUCGGGAGAAAGCAAGAGCACGGAAGCCAGCAAGACUAAUGUGAAUGGGACUCGCCAAACGGCUGGUAGCAAACACGAAGCUUCCCAAGGGAAAAAUGCAACUCAGGUGGGAAAGGAGUCAGAGUCCAAGGCGGCACCGGGAGAACAAAAGCGGCUUGUACAGAAUGGUUCAAAACAACUUAUGAAACCCGCACCAUUACCAGAAUCCUCAAAUCGGCUCACGCUGCCAGAAAACUAAGAGAUUCUUCAGGAAAGAGCAUUACCUCCUCAACAUGCCAGCCCAAUUGCUCAGAGGCAAUUUAAAGAAAAGCAUACACUUCCCUUCUCCCCAAAUGUUCAGAUCGCCUGAACUUGAAAACCAGCAACAAUGACCACCCCACCUCGAGGAAUCAGAAGCAACAAUUUUAAAAAGCAGAAUUUCCUGGGGGUGGAAGUCACUGUCUUACUUCCUUUAAAAAAACAAAAAACUUUUAUCAUUUUGUUUUUAACAUUAUGUUCUGUACAACACAACCCUGGAAUAGGCCUACAUUAGUUCUGUUCACAAUGCUUACUUGUUAUAUCUGCCUCAAUAAUUAUAUGUAUAUACACAGAGAGAGAGAUUUGGAACGGGACUCAUGCAGCAAGCGAGCUGUACUGUAUUGCUUUCUUUAAUAAAGUUCUGCCACACAAAUAUUUGCACUAAUGUACUUGCAAAAAUGAAGGUCCCCCCCGCCCUCUAGCCAUACAUAUUUGUAUGGUUAGUAAUGUCGCCCAUUCCCUCAUUUCUGCAUUUCAUGCUUAAAUAUUGAGGUCUGUUUGUAAUGUGGUUUGACGGCGUAUUUCCAUACAGUUGUGUAUCUGGCUGUUCUGGAGCAGGCGAAGAGAUGUACUCUUCCCUCUUACCAGCUCAUCAGGUUCCAAACAACUAUCACCACUUAUCUGCAGGGCAGAAUUUAGGUUUGAUGAGGCCCUAAGCUACUGAAGGUAAUGGGGCCCUUUAUAUGUCCAGCUGUCCUUUGUCAACAACAAAUUGUCACUGUUUUUUUGUGUUGAGUGUAUGCUAUAGUUAUACCUCGGUUUAAGUACACCUUGGUUUGAGUAUUUUCAGUUUAAGUACUCUGUGGACCUGUCUAGAACGGAUUAAUCCACUUUCCAUUACUUUCAAUGGGAAAGUUCGCUUCAGGUUAAGUACAGACUUCCGGAACCAAUUGUGUUUGUAAACCGAGGUACCACUGUAUAUGAUAAUUUAUGGACCUAACAGGUAUCUAAAACCAUUUGCACAUGCAGAAGGCAGGCACCCUAUAUAUAGAAAUGAGCAAACCAGUGAUAUUUUAGGGAGCAGGCUAGAAG